rnacentral:ncRNA from 1 species
UACCUGAUUGAUUCUGUCAGCGCGAUAUGCUCAAGUAAAAGAUUAAGCCAUGCAUGCUUUGAUUCAUAAAUGAAAUUGCGUACGGCUCAUUAGAGCAGAUAUCACCUUUCUCGGAAUCCUGAAAAGGAUAACUGCGGAAAUUCUGGAGCUAAUACAUGCGACUAUACUCCAACGCAAGGCGGGGUGCAAUUAUUAGAACAGACCAAACGUUUUCGGACGUUGUUUGUUGACUCUGAAUACCGUCGUUUACUGUCAGUUUCGACUGACUCUAUCCGAGAAGGGUGUCUGCCCUUUCAACUUGAUGGUAAUCUAU